ACGACAUGAUGGGGACAUUUUCAAAUGAGUUCCUUUAAUCUUUCCCAUGACUCAUGGAAUUGCUCACAAUCUUGUUGCAAAAAGGUAGUGAUAGCUCGUCUUAUCUG
rfam:Cephalotus follicularis DNA, scaffold: scaffold7924, isolate: St1.